GAUGAACGCUGGCGGCGUGCCUAAUACAUGCAAGUCGAGCGAACAGACGAGGAGCUUGCUCCUUUGACGUUAGCGGCGGACGGGUGAGUAACACGUGGGUAACCUACCUAUAAGACUGGGAUAACUUCGGGAAACCGGAGCUAAUACCGGAUAAUAUUUCGAACCGCAUGGUUCGAUAGUGAAAGAUGGCUUUGCUAUCACUUAUAGAUGGACCUGCGCCGUAUUAUCUAGUUGGUAAGGUAACGGCUUACCAAGGCAACGAUACGUAGCCGACCUGAGAGGGUGAUCGCCCACACUGGAACUGAGACACGGUCCAGACUCCUACGGGAGGCAGCAGUAGGGAAUCUUCCGCAAUGGGCGAAAGCCUGACGGAGCAACGCCGCGUGAGUGAUGAAGGUCUUCGGAUCGUAAAACUCUGUUAUUAGGGAAGAACAAACGUGUAAGUAACUGUGCACGUCUUGACGGUACCUAAUCAGAAAGCCACGGCUAACUACGUG
rnacentral:rRNA from 1 species